rnacentral:rRNA from 1 species
AGGACGACGCUGGCGGCGCGCCUAACACAUGCAAGUCGAACGAGCGAGAGAGAGCUUGCUUUCUCGAGCGAGUGGCGAACGGGUGAGUAACGCGUGAGGAACCUGCCUCAAAGAGGGGGACAACAGUUGGAAACGACUGCUAAUACCGCAUAAGCCCACGACCCGGCAUCGGGUUGAGGGAAAAGGAGCAAUCCGCUUUGAGAUGGCCUCGCGUCCGAUUAGCUAGUUGGUGGGGUAACGGCCCACCAAGGCGACGAUCGGUAGCCGGACUGAGAGGUUGAACGGCCACAUUGGGACUGAGACACGGCCCAGACUCCUACGGGAGGCAGCAGUGGGGAAUAUUGCACAAUGGGGGAAACCCUGAUGCAGCGACGCCGCGUGGAGGAAGAAGGUCUUCGGAUUGUAAACUCCUGUUGUUGAGGAAGAUAAUGACGGUACUCAACAAGGAAGUGACGGCUAACUACGUG